UACGUAGGGGGCAAGCGUUGUUCGGAAUUACUGGGCGUAAAGGGCGCGUAGGCGGCACAGCAAGUCGGGAGUGAAAGCCCGGGGCUCAACCCCGGAAUGGCUUUCGGAAACUGCUGAGCUAGAGUACAGAAGGGGCAACCGGAAUUCCCAGUGUAGCGGUGAAAUGCGUAGAUAUUGGGAAGAACACCUGAGGCGAAGGCGGGUUGCUGGGCUGAUACUGACGCUGAGGCGCGAAAGCCAGGGGAGCAAACGGG
rnacentral:rRNA from 1 species